rnacentral:rRNA from 1 species
AGUGAACGCUGGCGGUAGGCCUAACACAUGCAAGUCGAACGGCAGCACAGUAAGAGCUUGCUCUUACGGGUGGCGAGUGGCGGACGGGUGAGGAAUACAUCGGAAUCUACUUUUUCGUGGGGGAUAACGUAGGGAAACUUACGCUAAUACCGCAUACGACCUACGGGUGAAAGCAGGGGAUCUUCGGACCUUGCGCGAUUGAAUGAGCCGAUGUCGGAUUAGCUAGUUGGCGGGGUAAAGGCCCACCAAGGCGACGAUCCGUAGCUGGUCUGAGAGGAUGGUCGCCCACACGGGAACUGGGCAACGGUCAAGAUCCUAAGGGAAGGCAGCAGUGGGGAAUAUUGGCCAAUGGGGGCAAGCCUGCUCCACCCCUCCCGCGUGGGUGAAGAAGGCCUUCGGGUGGUAAAGCCCUUUUGUUGGGAAAGAAAAACAGCAGGUUAAUACCGCGCUGUUCUGACGGUACCAAAAGAAUAAGCACCGGCUAACUUCGU